AAUUUGUUAAUAAAUUAUUUUAUAUGUAAAUUUUUGUGUGGAAACAUAUAUAUUUAAAUAAUAUUUAUUUUAUUUUAAUUUGCAGUAGUUAUUAUUAUUGUUUUAUUAAAGAAAUUUAGAAAUAGUAAUUUUAUAGAGUAUUGAUAAAAUUUGUGCCAGCAAUCGCGGUUAUACAAAUAAUACAAAUGAAUUUUUAUUAGUAAAAGUUAAAUAGUUUGAUAAAAAUUUAAUAUAAAUAUAAAUUUAUUAGGUGAAAUUUUAAAUUUAUUUAUUAUUAUAUAUUUAUUAAAUAAUUGAAGCUUAUAAAUUUUUAUAAUAAACUAGGAUUAGAUACCCUAUUAUAAAAAAUUUAAUUAAAUUUAUUAAAUUAGUAUUAGUUAUGUUCUUUAAAAUUAAAAAAUUUGGCGGUAUUUUAGUCUAUUCAGAGGAACUUGUUCUAUAAACGAUAAUCCACGUUGUACCUUACUUAAUUUUGUUAAUCAGUUUAUAUACCGUUGUUAUAAGAAUAUUUUUUAAAAAUUAAUAAUUUUCAAGAUUUUAAAUAUAAAAUUUAUAUCAGAUCAAGGUUUAGCUAAUAAUUAAGAAGAAAUGAGUUACAAUAAAAUUAUUUGUGAAUUUAAUAAUGAAAUUAAUUUUAAUGAAAAUGGAUUUGAUAGUAAAUUUAUAAAGAUAAAUAAAUUGAUUUUAGCUCUAAGAUAUGUACAUAUUGCCCGUCGCUCUUAUUAUUAAAAUAAGAUAAGUCGUAACAUAGUAGAUGUACUGGAAAGUGUUUCUAGAAUG
rnacentral:ncRNA from 1 species